rnacentral:rRNA from 1 species
UACGUAGGUAGCGAGCGUUAUUCGGAUUUACUGGGCGUAAAGGGUCUGCAGGGGGCCUGCCAAGUCUGGCGUGAAAUUCCAAGGCUCAACCUUGGAACUGCGUUGGAUACUGGCGGGCUAGAGUGCAUGAGGGGAGAACAGAAUACCUGGUGUAGCGGUGGAAUGCGCAGAUAUCAGGUGGAACACCGACGGCGAAGGCGGUUCUCUGGCAUGCAACUGACCCUGGGGGACGAAAGCGUGGGGAGCAAACAGGAUUAGAUACCCUGGUAGUCCACGCUGUAAACGGUGCAUACUCGAUGUGGGCGGAGCUUUGAUCCCGUCCGUGUCUUAGCUAACGCGUUAAGUAUGCCGCCUGGGGAGUACGGCCGCAAGGUUAAA